UACGUAGGGCGCAAGCGUUGUCCGGAAUUAUUGGGCGUAAAGAGCUCGUAGGCGGUCUGUCACGUCGGAUGUGAAAACUCGGGGCUCAACCCCGAGCCUGCAUUCGAUACGGGCAGACUUGAGUUCGGCAGGGGAGACUGGAAUUCCUGGUGUAGCGGUGAAAUGCGCAGAUAUCAGGAGGAACACCGGUGGCGAAGGCGGGUCUCUGGGCCGAUACUGACGCUGAGGAGCGAAAGCGUGGGGAGCGAACAGG
rnacentral:rRNA from 1 species